rnacentral:rRNA from 1 species
UACAGAGGUCUCAAGCGUUGUUCGGAGUCAUUGGGCGUAAAGGGUGCGUAGGUGGCGCCGUAAGUCGGGUGUGAAAUUUCGGAGCUUAACUCCGAAACUGCAUUCGAUACUGCGGUGCUUGAGGACUGGAGAGGAGACUGGAAUUCAUGGUGUAGCAGUGAAAUGCGUAGAGAUCAUGAGGAAGACCAGUGGCGAAGGCGGGUCUCUGGACAGUUCCUGACACUGAGGCACGAAGGCCAGGGGAGCAAACGGG